GUUCUUGGAAGAGCUCACCAGUUCCACCAGCUCCUGCUGUGGGAAUAUCCAUUAAAUAAGAGGGAGAAAUACACAAAACAAAGGAUGAUCUUGAAACUUCUCUCUUUUUUUUAAUGUCAUCUAUCUUCCCUGUCAGAAUGAGGGAAUUAAUUCUAAGGUUGGAGUUAGCAAAAUCUGCAAAAGAAGAGAGAGUGGCAGAGCAGUUUUACAGCAUGUCUGCUGCACGCAGCAUGAUGGAUAUUAGGUGGCUGAAGACACUGAACUUCAUCCACUUCCUUCUCUAUGAUGCCCAACCUCCAGCCAGUGGUGGAGCAGAGAAGAUGAUUUGUUCAUGGUGGUAACCACAUAAGGCCACUGGUGCAACCAAGAUGGUCUUAGUUACAGGAGUCUCAGCAGUGUCAUCUCUUUGAGGGCAGACCUCCAACUGUGGUUCUACUGGAGUUAGUUUCAGCACUUGUUUGCCCUGGAUGAGAAGGCUUCUUCUUUCUGGAUGUUCUUGGGAUCUUUAAACCAGAUAAGUUUUCACAUCCCAGACUGUCCUGCUGACAUGCUGUGUCUUUCCAGCAGAAGAGAAAGUAGUUUAAGCAUGUGGUUUCAAAUCCAUGUACCUUCUGUCUGUGUAAUUAUACUGUCUUGUACUAUACAAGUUUAUGCUGCUUCACUGUAGCCAGAGCAGUCCUCUGGAUGGAUGACCCAUCCUGCAGCUCACACUCCAGCCAGCCUGCAUGGCCCUAGGUGCCUCUCAGCACACCAAAGUAAUGCAGUGUCACAGUGCUGAGGUGACUCAUUUCCUGCCAGAUGCACAACGUGUUACGUGUGUUAAUUGAUGCAAAGCCUGACUGAAUUCACCAGCGUUGUGCACGGGCAGCAAAAGUGAAAGUGUCACAGCUCUUAUGACUGCAUCUCUUCUGAAGGGUUUUCUCAUCGUCUCCUGUUCCCUCAUUUGCCAGCCAGAUCUCUUUAAUCUGGUCUUCUAAAUGUUUAAUUUUGAAGUGAAAUUCUGAUUUUUUUCAUUGUACUUCUUUUCCUCUUCACAGAAUCAUUCAGGUGAAUGCAGCCAUAUUUAAUGCCACUGUAGAUUGGGAAGUUGAUAUUGGGGCAGGUAAAGUAUUUUCUAAAAAGACAUCCCUCUCUGUAUCUUUUUCAAGCUGAUCUAUGCCACCUUCUGGUUCUUACAGUUCUUACUCUGUUUAUCUAGUUCCAAAUAAAUCCAUGUGCUGCAUCUCCCUAGCACAGCUCUGGCAGAGCAGCAAGGCUGCCUACAUUUCGCAGUUGAAUAAACUGGGAGUCCAAGCACUUAAACGGAGAAGCUGCCCUGAAUUCUGUUGCAUGCUUGCUGCUCUUCAUUUGUGGAUGUCUGCUUACUAGUCACAACACACGAAUGAGGACAAAUACCUACACCCUUCUUUUGCUCAUCCCCCAGGACUCUUCCUCCCUGCUUCAAGAUAGUGCUUUGGUCUGGUGAAAAAAUACCUUAUGAGUGCUGGAGGGGAUUGCUCACUACUUCAAAAGCAGAAGGGAAACAAAUGGUGAAACAGCACAGACUGGUGUGGACAGAGGCAGAGAGAAAGGAGCUGCAGCAGCAGAUCUGACCUCUCCACCUGAAUCAGGUGGGUCAGGAACUUUGCAACUGGUCUCUGUAGAGUUUCAUUCCUCCCUCCUGUCUGGACACUAGCAUGCCUUGCUCACCACUGAGCGAGUGCUGUACAACUAAUCUUGAUUCAAGACAAGGAGAAUCUUCCAACUCCAAAGUGGAGAGACCAAGCAUUUCACGGGAAUCUGAGUAACCUGUUGGAAUGGGGGGAGACAGGAUGACAAAGCCUCAAUUUCCCACGCCUGCUCCAGACCACUGUGUCCUCUGCAAAUGACAGAGACAGCACACAAGCUGGUGAGCACAGCAGGAGGCUCUGCAGUGGCUGCACAAUCAUCCCACGUCAGCACCACAGGUGGCUUCACCAGCAAAACCCAACUGCCUCAAUAAUAACAGCUUUAUAACCUUGAGGUCUGUCUUUGGACUGCUGAUAAAAAUGCUGCAUAACCUCCGUCAGCACUGAAUUUGUACUGAGCAUCAUAACCAAUGAAGAAGGGAAGACAAAUGCAAGAGGGAAUGAACUUGAAGUUCACUUCACACCCCCAAUAGGAUUGGCUGCUUGACAUGAUCCUCACCACAGCAAAUACAUCAGUCAAAACCAGCCUAAGCUUUGCUGCCCGUUGUGCCAGUUAGUUUUGGCUAAGCUCUUCCAGACACAGAGAAUAACCUGCUCCAUCCAGGCAGCUCUGGCAGCAGUAAUUCUACUGAAAUGGACUGGAUUUCGACAUUACAGACCACUGUGGUGCUCUCUGCCUCAAUCUUCAGAUACCUCCUUCAGAAAUAAGAAGCAGAAGGAAAACAUCCAAGCAGAAGAAUCAGAAGGCAAAGGAAAAGAAAUGGAUGGGGAUUGCGAGUGAAAAAUUAAUGAGGAGAGACCUCAUUUCACAAGGCUUAUAUGAAGCAGGGCUGUAUCUGUGCAAGGAACAGCGACCCAGAAAGAAAGGUCUGUGAAAAAUUAGAGCAAGGUGCAAAACUCAGUGGCCUUGGGGAAGCCCUCUGAGGUGCACCUACAUGCACAAACAAGAACCCUUGGUUUAUGGCUACUGUGAACUCAUCUUUGAAGGUUCUACCUGGUGGAGGUCCUCCCUUGGGGGACAGCAGAGCUUUUAGAGCUUACAGAGAAGGUCAGGGUUGAACCUGAGUCCAGAGAAACAGCUCUGUGAGUUUGGCGUGGCUUCUAGCACAUUUGUUUGGGGAUAGAAAUCCUCUUUGUGCAGCCACUUUUCUUCUGUUUAUUCAUUAACUAUAAAUAUAAACGUGUGUGUGUAUCUAAAGAAAAGCAUUUAGCUUCUGGCCAAGAUGCAAGCCUCUGUAACACUGCUGCUGCCUGAUGAGAAUUGCCUUUCUGGGAGAUUUCUCAUUAUUGUACAGUUCAAACCCUCAAUUAAUGAGCACCUCCUGUCAUAGCCAAUCCCAGAAGAAAAAAGACCUUCAGUUUGGUGCAUGACAGGGCUGAGAUUCUCACCCCAAAUGUUCACUACUUGAUACCUGACAAGAGUCCUCUUCACAGAUUCCCUGGAACCCGGAGCACCUGCAGGAGUGCCAGCUGAGCAUGCUGCUUUGAAUUGCACCCCUGCUUACUCACCUAUUGCCCUGAAUGGAAACUCAGGAGAGUAUAUUCUAUAUUAAGAACAUCUCAUGCAGCACCGAGUGGCUCACUCUCUGAUAUUGCCAAAUCUCCAUGUAUUAAGACAGCACAUCUCUCUGCUACGAAUUUCUCCUGUCAAUCUUUGCUUUACGGUGUGAAUAAAGGAAUGGAGGCACUAUU